rnacentral:tmRNA from 1 species
AAAUAGUGGUAUGGAUGCGCCUGCAAGGGCGCCUUCCUGAAGAGCGACAUUGAAGGAUUCCGGACGGGGGUUCGACUCCCCCCAGCUCCACCAAAAGCCAUACUUUAAAGGUGCUUCGAUCGUUGUCUAGCAGUAGACAGUGCACCGAAUACAAGAUGGUUUUUGAUGGGGCUGCAUUGGUUUCGACGGGGUCUCGGAGAUAGAGUUCAACCACUCGUGGAGGUAUACCACGUUAAUAAUCGCCAAAGUAGAUAACUGCCGCAAACGACAGCAAUUUCCGCGUGGCCGCCUAAACAGCGACCCCCGGACGGAGUUCGUGUGUAAGCUACGCUAGUGGAUAACGAAGCGAAUGUAGCAAGCGCAUUAGUCCCAGCCGCCCAAGAA